rnacentral:lncRNA from 10 species
AUUUUCUGGAGCAUUAUACAUGAAUUAAUGUGAGGUUACCCCAUUAAAGUUAUAGAAUUUCUCUUUAGUGUGUGCUCUCACUGGUUUUAGAAAGAAUGACUUGGCAACUGAAGGCUUUUGAGUAUGACUGACAUUCGUGGGAUUUCUGUCCUGUGUGCAUCCUCAGAUGGUUCCGGAAGGAGGAGUGCCACUUGAAGGACAUCCCACAUUGUUUACAUUUGUGAGGUUUCUCUCCAGUGUGCAUCCUCACAUGAUUAUGUAAGGUUGAGGACCAAGUGAAGGUUUUUCCACAUUGUUUACACUCAUAAGGCUUCUCUCCAGUGUGCAUCCUCAAAUGACCUUGGAAUGCUCUGGAAGAGGUAAAGGCCUUCCCACAGUGUUCACAUUUAUGGAGCUGCUCUUGCGUGUGAAUUCUCACAUGUUCUCUAAACGUUGAGGACCAAGUGAAGGUUUUUCCACAUUGUUUACACUCAUAAGGCUUCUCUCCAGUGUGCGUCCUCAAAUGACCUCGGAAUGAUCUGGAAGAGGUAAAAGCCUUCCCACAUUGUUCACAUUUAUAGAGCUGCUCUUGCGUGUGAAUUCUCACAUGUUCUCUAAACGUUGAGGACCAAGUGAAGGCUUUCCCACAUUGUUUACACUCAUAAGGUUUCUCUCCAGUGUGCGUCCUCAAAUGACCUUGGAAUGAUCUGGAAGAGGUAAAAGCCUUCCCACAGUGUUCACAUUUAUAGAGUUUGUCCCCAGUGUGGAUCCUCAUGUGGACUCGCAAGGUUUCAGACCAACUGAAUGUUUUCCCACACUGCUUGCAUUCAUAGGGCUUCUCUCCCGUGUGCGUCUUCUCAUGUCUUUGAAAAGCCUGGGGGUAAGUGAAGGCUUUCCCACAGUGCUGACAUUUAUAGGGCUUCUCUCCAGUGUGUGUUGUCAUGUGUCUUUGAAAUGUCGAGGGAUAAAUGAAGGCUCUCCCACAUUCCUGACAUUUAUAUGGCCUGUCUUUUGUGUGAGUUCUCACAUGUCUAGUGAAGCUUGCGAACCCAUUAAACGCCAUCCGACACUGCUCGCAUUUGUAGGUUUUCUCUGCUGUGUGAGUCUUUACGUGGUGGGAGAGGUAACGAGGAUGUUGGAAAGUUUGCCCACAUGCUUGACACUUAUACGGCUUCUCCUCAGUGUCAGUUCUUCCGUGACUGUGUAGGUGUGAGGGACAAAUGCAGGCCUGCUUACAUUCCUCACCUGGAGGUGCUUUUCGUCCACAGUGAGACUUGACGUGCCUUUUAAGAGAAGAAAGAUGCGUGAAGACUGUCCUGCACUUGGUGCAUUCAUAUGGUUUUUCUCCAGCAGAAACUUUCUUGUGCAGGGAGGGUCUAGAGAAAUGCUAUGCAAAUGAAGUAACUUUUCCAUUUGAAACGUUGCAUAACGCAGCAGGCCUCGGUUGUCCAAACGAUGCACAUUUCAUAGGACUUUCGGAAAAGCCUUCCACCAGCUACUGCAGAAAAUGGAUUCUGUGACUGUAAAAACCAAUGGCCGGGCGCAGUGGCUCACACCUGUCAUCCCAGCACUUUGGGAGGCCGAGGAGGGCGGAUCACGAGGUCAGGAGGUCGAGAUCAUCCUAGCUAUCUCUACUAAAAAUGCAAAAAAUUAGCCGGGCGUGGUGACGGGUGCCUGUAGUCCCAGCUACUGGGGAGGCGGAGCUUCGAGUGCGCGCUACUGCACUCCAGCCUGGGCGACAGAGCAAGACUCCGUCUCAAAAAAAAAAAAAAAAACCAAAAAAAUAACAACAACAAUGAAAUGUGCACGUUAAAUGGCUGUACGUUCUAUAUGUCAGUAAAGCUGGU